CACCUGCAGCCCAUCACUUGGCCAUGGCUUUGAUGGCGACGGCCGCCUCCUCAGUCAUCGCCGACAGCACCGUGAUCAGGAUCUCCUCCCCGCAGUCGUACUUCUGCUCGAUCUCCCUUCCCAGCUCCCCCUCGGGCAGCCGCAGAUCCUCCCUCACCUCCCCGCUGUCCUGCAGCAGCGACAGGAAGCCGUCCUGGAUCCCGAUCAGCUGGAAGUCGCAGCGCUUGAUGUUGGGGACGUCCAUGUUGUGGGUGGAGGGGCAGAUGUCCUCGUACUUCUUCCCUGUGAAGAUGUCGAUGCCCACCAGGUGCACCUUGGCGUGGCCGUGCUUGCCGGUCUUGGAGGUGGAC
rnacentral:lncRNA from 1 species